rnacentral:rRNA from 1 species
AUGAUGGAUGUUGCAGGUUCAUUGAUGACAGCCAAGGGUUCAUGCUCGGAAACGACUACAUCUUGCUCCAUGUUGUCGGCUCAGCUAAAGUCCUUAAUCAUGAGGAGAUGGGACACAUCGAUUGUUAGAGUACACUUGACAGGUGCAUUUUGUGAAAUUCUAGUCAAAAGAUUGAUAUCAUGCUUGCCUGCUUGUUCUUUUCAGUUCAAAUAA